rnacentral:lncRNA from 1 species
AAAACGUUUCGACAAUAUGAAAGACUACGGUGUGACUUUGGGAUCAAGAAAGUGCAGCCCGAAGACUUUAGCCAAAGCUCUGAGCCCCUCAGAGACAGCGAAAGCAAGCAAGGGAACUAGACAGCGCCCAGGUUCUGCAGCCGCACAUUACCACGGCCGCCUCAAUGCCUGAGCAUUUGUUUGCCCGUCUCCCGGCCUGCAACGUGUUUGCCUCUAACUCUUUCUGCCCGGCGUCCACCUUCUCGACAGCUUCGAGGGGACUAGAGCUCCUCUGGCGACAGAAUCCGGGCAUUACAAUAACACAGGCUUCUGCCAGUCUCACGUGGCCGAGGCGUUGUUGGAUUCCCACUGCUGGGGAGUUGGCAAUAUUUGGAGGAACGCAGGCCCCUCUAUCCAUGCCCCAGAAAGCUUCAUCAUACUUUUAUCUUCCCAGAUUCCUGCACAGAAAGGAGGAAAAAGCGAUCGCGCCAGAUGGAGACGCCGGGCCCACCCUCUCGGACGGAGCCGGGGUGGUUUCUAAUUAG